rnacentral:misc_RNA from 1 species
AACUUUCAACAACGUAUCUCUUGGUUCUGGCAUCGAUGAAGAACGCAGCGAAAUGCGAUAAGUAAUGUGAAUUGCAGAAUUCAGUGAAUCAUCGAAUCUUUGAACGCACAUUGCGCCCUGUGGUAUUCCGCAGGGCAUGCCUGUUCGAGCGUCAUUUAACCACUCACGCCUAGCGUGGUAUUGGGGCACGCGGUCUCGCGGCCCUCAAAAUCAGUGGCGGCGCCGGUGGGCUCUAAGCGCAGUACAUACUCCCGCUAUAGAGUUCCCCCGGUGGCUUGCCAGAACCCCCAAUUUUUACAGGUUGACCUCGGAUCAGGUAGGGAUACCCGCUGAACUUAAGCAUAUCAAUAAGCGGAGGCU